AGAUUUCAAUCUAGAUAGGACUUGAAUAGAAGUUAUGUAAAUUAGCAAUACUUUAUACAAAACUAUUACAUGGUUAGAAAGUUAGUCUGCAAAAUUUUCCUUACACAAAGAAGCUAUGGAUCAACCACUUGUCCUGCACAACCUAGAGCAGAACACACACUAAGGCACCUGUGUCAUGCUAAUGGCAUAUCCCAGUGACAAUGCUGCUGUCAUUGCACAUGGCAUGGGCGCCCUUCGCUGAAACCGUGGCUGCCAUUGCCAACAUACCCAACCUAGCACCUCCCUGACACAAGAGAUCAAGCCAACCUAUAGCUCAACAGGAAGGAGAUGCAGUGGUGGCGUGCAACGGGGAGGCAGAGGCUGUCAGAUCCUUGCUCCUGCUGCUCCGGUUGACGCGACCUCUACCUUCACUCCUUGCAACGCCCCUGCAGCCGACAGCUUCAUCCAUGAGAAAGGGAGGAAACAUGAGUGAGGGCAGAGGGAGAUAGAGGGGGUAUGGAGGCAAACCCGGAAGGCCGGAACCACCUCGAGCUUCUCGUCCUGCUGCUCCAGCCGACGAGCCUCCCUCAACCUCAACCGCCCAUCCCACCAGCAUCCACGAGAUCCUCCUGGGGAGGCACCCCUUUCGUUAGGUUCUGCAGUCAAGGCAGUGGCGGAGCCAGGAAUUUGCUC
rnacentral:lncRNA from 1 species